CCGUGCUAAGUGGGGAGCCAGCGGUGCCCUGAACCUGAAAUCCGCUAUAUGCAGGACGAAUUCCCUCUCUCGGGGUGAUGCAGGUCGGGGUUGGUACCAGUGCGCAGCGUUGAUCUCCCGGUCCUGCGCAACGGAUCCCUUCGAACCGGGUCAGGUCCGGAAGGAAGCAGCCCUAAGGAGUGUGGUUCGUGUGCCGCAGGGGUGCCGGGAGGGAGCCAGCGGCCGGGGGGCCGCCCGAUCGGGUCGCCACAAAAGAGGGUGCACGG
rnacentral:SRP_RNA from 1 species